AUGACGUAUGCCCUGGCUACCUGUUACAUCAUCGCGUUGCCAUGGCACCACCUAUGACGUAUGCUCUGGCUACCUGCAGGCGCUUCUGGUCACGCUGGUGGGCAAGCCACUGCAGCCGAGCCUGGAUUAUUAAUUAGGGUAAGGGUUAGGGCUGUUGGUGUUUGGAGAGGGAGAAAGCACCGAGUCCUGUUGUGUCUGGGAUUGCUUAAAGGGUUGAUAAGGGAGCUCAGGUCCAACUAAAGACUUCCUUUGUGAGCUCUUUUGAUGGGAGAAAUUGGCGACGUACAGUUCUGUUAUGGUCCCAGUUACGGUUAGGGUUAGUGUUGUUACUGUGUGGAGAGAGAGAAAGCGCAGAGUGAGUUUUGGGUGACAUCAAAUCCCACAUUACCAUACCUUAGCAUUUUGAUGAGUGUGAUUUUUAAUAUGUUAAUGACCUUUAAUGAGCAAAAGGCUACUGUAGGUCAGCCUGGAGCUGUCUUUCUCCUUCUUGUUUUUACCUUUUAUCCCUUAUCUUCCUUGCUUCUGCUAGGCUUCUAGCCAAUCUGCCCCAAGCCUAUGGCACUGCAGGGGGUUAUUGUGGCCAAAGUGCAAGACCUGGCCCUUGGCCUUGUUAGACCUCAUCCCAUAGCCCCCACUCCCAUGUUCCUCUGAGCCACUUGGGGGGAGGGUGGAUGUAGAAGUGGAUGGAAGGGAGAAGGUGCUUUUAGUUUGCUUUUAGUAUCUCACUGCUCUAGCCCCUUUUAAUAGGUAAUGAAUUAUAUUAAUCUCCCUAGGCUGAGCGGGUUUUGCCCGUGAUGCUAAUUGGUGAGUGGCCUCCCUGUCCUUAUCGCAACCCUGCAGCCCGUUUUAUCCUAUUUUCUCCCCCUUUCUGCUUGAGGAGGGCGAGCGAGAGAGUGCUCGUGCUGGAGUUCAGCUGCCCAGCUGGGUGACACCACCACACGGUGUAGGGAAAAUCCCCAAGCACAGCACGGCCUGGCUUGAAGAAAUGGAGGCACAAGCAAGCACUUGGAUGUAAGCUCUUUAUUUUCUGCUUCCGCCUCAGGCUACUGAGGCUUCAAUGGGAUCGGAGCUCAGAGCCUUGCCGCACAGCUUGGAGGAGGUCGGCUGAUCUUCGGAGGUGCUCCGAGGGACAGCUCUCCUUCCAACUGCUUGGGACAGGCUGCUGGCUGACAUGCCUUGCCAAGCUCUAAUUCAGCUUUCAUGCAGUUGCAGACUGAGAGCUCUGCCUGUUAGAGGGAUCGACAGUGGGAAGUGCCAAGAUUUCAGAAUAUUCGCAGCUGAAGUCUUGCUCAAACCAGGAAGCCACAAAGGAUUCCAAAGUGUCGCAGACACUUCAACAACUCCUUUGGUGACCUUGUCAAGGGAUGCCUGUGAGAAUGCUCUCCCCGCGCCCUGACACCCACUCGGCCCGUGCUGCUGUCGGCGGCGGCGCGGAGCAGGGCGCAGAGCAGCAGGGAGCCCGCCGCAGCCAGGCCCCGGCACCGCCUCGGCGCCAUGGCAGCGCGGCGGGCCUCCGGCCAGCGCUCCGGGCCGGCGGCUCGGGCUGCGGCUGCGCGGGGAGGCCGCAACUGAAAGGCGGCGGCCGGGGCUACGCCUCUUCCUCCGCGGAGCCGGGGCAGGCGGCGGGGCUGCCGCGGGGCCCGCUCCGGGGCCCGGGGCCGGGGCCGGGGCCGGGGCCGGCAGGCAGGGGAGGGUGCAGAGGAGGCGGCGGCCGCCGGGUGUUCGUCUGCAGCACCGAAGCUGCUGCAGGAGGAGUCAGGUCUUCCUCUGCCGCCUCGUCAGCGAGAAGGAGCUCGGAGGUGCUCCGAGGGACAGCUCUCCUUCCAACUGCUUGGGACAGGCUGCUGGCUGACAUGCCUUGCCAAGCUCUAAUUCAGCUUUCAUGCGGUUGCAGACUGAGAGCUCUGCCUGUUAGAGGGAUCGACAUUGGGAAGUGCCAAGAUUUCAGAAUAUUCGCAGCUGAAGUCUUGCUCAAACCAGGAAGCCACGAACGAUUCCAAAGUGUCACAGACAAUUCCAAGAGCUCCUUUGGUGACGUUGUCAAGGGAAGCCUGUGAGAAUGCUCACAGCUGGGUCUGGGAUUUCCCUGUGGGGGCAGAAGAACCUGCCAUGGGGGCACCUUGCUCAGAGCCGAAGAGGGAAUGCUCCCUCUAGGGAGCAUUCUCACAGGUUUCUUUUCCUCGGUUUCUUUUCUAUUGGCUUCCCCACUUGGGACGCUCUCCUGGCCAAGGGUUGCUCCUUCUGGCUGCCUUCUGGCCUUGGCUCACAUGCACUGGGCGUGCCAGGUUCGCACGACUUCUCAAAGACGUUCAUCACACUCGCCACAACCUUCUUAGCCAGCAGUGCAAUUUGCUGCUCUUUGUCAAGAGGAGAUGCCUCUGAAGGCUCUGCGCUUUCGGCACUUGCACAUGGUCUUUCUUGGAUCCCAUGGGGAGACCUUGUCAAGGGAAGCCUGUGAGAAUGCUCCCUCAAGGGGAGCAUUCCCUCGGUUUCAUUUCUUCCAGCUUCCCCACUUGCCACACCACAACCCGAGCCACCUCUUCAAUCUUCUAGCUUUCUCUAGCCACCUGAUCUUCUGAGGCAGCUUUGAAUACACCGUCUGCGGGGAUGGGUGACUUCCUCUCGGACUCGCUCACAGGAUGGAUGCUGCCAGGGAGCUUGGCAUUUUCCCUGCCCAACUCAACGCUGGAGGGAGUCACUUUCAGCCUUCUGUACUGGCCAGAGUGGAGAAAGUUUCUUCUGCUUUUGUGGGAAGGUGGGCCAGCUGGUUUUUGAGGCUGCGGUAGGCUGGCUUUCUCUUUCGUGACCAAGUACACGUUAUUGGAGGAGCUCUGGCGAGAACGGUCACUCCCCGCCAUCAGUCUUGCGUCAAGUUUCUUUAACUUGGCGAGCUGUUGCUGAAGCUUUUCCUGAAAGGGAACAGCAGGUUUUAGCUCACUCUUGCCUCAGAAAUGCCUCGCGUCCCUGCGU